CCUUGCGCUGAUUGAGCGGCCGAUAUCAGAUUAGCUAGUUGGUGAGGUAAAGGCUCACCAAGGCGACGAUCUGUAGCGGUCUGAGAGGAUGGUCCGCCACACUGGAACUGAGACACGGUCCAGACUCCUACGGGAGGCAGCAGUGGGAAUUUUGGACAAUGGGGCAACCCUGAUCCAGCCAUGCCGCGUGAGUGAAGAAGGCCUUCGGGUUGUAAAGCUCUUUCGGCCGGGAAGAAAUCGUAUGGGUUAAUACCCUGUGCGGAUGACGGUACCGGCAUAAGAAGCACCGGCUAACUACGUG
rnacentral:rRNA from 1 species